GACGAACGCUGGCGGCGUGCUUAACACAUGCAAGUCGAACGGAAAGGCCCUGCUUUUGUGGGGUGCUCGAGUGGCGAACGGGUGAGUAACACGUGAGUAACCUGCCCUUGACUUUGGGAUAACUUCAGGAAACUGGGGCUAAUACCGGAUAGGAGCUCCUGCUGCAUGGUGGGGGUUGGAAAGUUUCGGCGGUUGUGGAUGGACUCGCGGCUUAUCAGCUUGUUGGUGGGGUAGUGGCUUACCAAGGCUUUGACGGGUAGCCGGCCUGAGAGGGUGACCGGCCACAUUGGGACUGAGAUACGGCCCAGACUCCUACGGGAGGCAGAAGUGGGGAAUAUUGCACAGUGGGCGGAAGCCUGAUGCAGCAACGCCGCGUGCGGGAUGACGGCCUUCGGGUUGUAAACCGCUUUCGCCUGUGACGAAGCGUGAGUGACGGUAAUGGGUAAAGAAGCACCGGCUAACUACGUG
rnacentral:rRNA from 1 species